GUGUUGACUUAGAUCUUGUUUCAAGAUU
rnacentral:piRNA from 1 species